rnacentral:rRNA from 1 species
AGUGAACGCUGGCGGUAGGCCUAACACAUGCAAGUCGAACGGCAGCACAGUAAGAGCUUGCUCUUACGGGUGGCGAGUGGCGGACGGGUGAGGAAUACAUCGGAAUCUACUUUUUCGUGGGGGAUAACGUAGGGAAACUUACGCUAAUACCGCAUACGACCUACGGGUGAAAGCAGGGGAUCUUCGGACCUUGCGCGAUUGAAUGAGUCGAUGUCGGAUUAGCUAGUUGGUGGGGUAAAGGCCCAACAAGGCGACGAACCGUAGCUGGUCUGAGAUGAUGAUCAGCCACACUGGAACUGAGACACGGUCCAGACUCCUACGGGAGGCAGCAGUGUGGAAUAUUGGACAAUUGGCGCAAGCCUGAUCCAGCCAUGCCGCGUGGGUGAAGAAGGCCUUCGGGUUGUAAAGCCCUUUUGUUGGGAAAGAAAAGCAGCAGGUUAAUACCCCGCUGUUCUGACGGUACCCAAAGAAUAAGCACCGGCUAACUUCGUG